UUCCAAAUAUUAACUGGUCUCGUGAGAUGUCUUCUUGGCUGCAGCCUGACCAUCUAACUUACUGUUUUUCCUCCAGCUGCUGCCUCCUGCUUUCCCUCUGCUGCAGGCUGGAAUGAAGGGCGGCGGGUGGCGCGGGGGAGGAGAAGGAGGAGCAGCAAAGUUGGCCAGGGUCCUGCUGGCUGGGGGCCAGGACUGCCUCCCUAAACAAGCAAGCAGGGGCGCAUACAGCCCUGGGUUGAGUUGUUGCCCUUAAUCAUCUGGCCACAGCAGGAAUAAGAGGCUCCCGGAAAACCCUGGCUCUUGGCUAUCUCUUCCAUGAGCACACCCUGGCCCUGGGGCCUGAGAUCUCUCCAUGCAGAGGCAGCCAUGAACUGCGGGGGCAGCAGCAAGGCUGGCCACACCACCCACCCCGCCACCUCCGGCCCCGCCGCUCAACCAGCCAUCAGUCCCUUAACUGCGAGUGUUCGUGGACCAUACAAAACAACCAACAGAUCCCAGCCAGCCUAGAAGCAGGCUCACAGUUUUCCAUGGAGGGCUUGGAUAGUAAACUGAUCCUGGAUGUUGGCGGCAUAUGCCACCUGAUCUACAUCAGCACCAUGAGGGCCUUUCCAGGUAGAAAUUCGAACAGCUUAGAGAAAUGAAGAGCAGGCUGAGUGUGGUGGCUCACGCCUGUAAUCCCACCACCUUGGGAGACCGAGGCAGAUGGAACAUCUGAGGUCAGGAGUUCAGCAGCUCCAGACCAGCCAGGGCAACAUGGUGAAAUCCUGUCUCUACUAAAAAUACAAAAAAUUAGCCGGACGUGGUGGUGGGCACCUGUAAUCCCAGCUACUCGGGAGGCUGUGGCAGGAGAAUUGCUUGAACCCAGGAGGUGGUGGAGACUGUAGUGAGCCGAGAUCUCGCCAUUGCACUCCAGGCUGGGCGACAAGAGCAAAACUCCAUCUCAAAAGAAAAAAGAAAAAAAAAAGAAAGAAAGAAAAGGAAAGGAAAGGAAAGAAAAGAAAAGAAAAAGAAAAGAAAAGAAAAGAAAAGAAAAGAAAAGAAAAGAAAAGAAGAGAUGAAAAGAAAAG
rnacentral:lncRNA from 1 species